UACAGAGGUCCCAAGCGUUGUUCGGAUUCAUUGGGCGUAAAGGGUGCGUAGGCGGCGCGGUAAGUCGGGUGUGAAAUCUCGGAGCUUAACUCCGAAACUGCAUUCGAUACUGCCGUGCUUGAGGACUGGAGAGGAGACUGGAAUUUACGGUGUAGCGGUGAAAUGCGUAGAUAUCGUAAGGAAGACCAGUGGCGAAAGCACUCUGCUGGGCCGACACUGACACUGAGAGACGAAAGCUAGGGGAGCGAAUGGG
rnacentral:rRNA from 1 species